rnacentral:rRNA from 1 species
GGGGGGGGGGAGCUACACAUGCAGUCGAGCGGGGUGAUGGUGCUUGCACUAUCACCUAGCGGCGGACGGGUGAGUAAUGCUUAGGAAUCUGCCUAUUAGUGGGGGACAACAUUUCGAAAGGAAUGCUAAUACCGCAUACGUCCUACGGGAGAAAGCAGGGGAUCUUCGGACCUUGCGCUAAUAGAUGAGCCUAAGUCGGAUUAGCUAGUUGGUGGGGUAAAGGCCUACCAAGGCGACGAUCUGUAGCGGGUCUGAGAGGAUGAUCCGCCACACUGGGACUGAGACACGGCCCAGACUCCUACGGGAGGCAGCAGUGGGGAAUAUUGGACAAUGGGCGCAAGCCUGAUCCAGCCAUGCCGCGUGUGUGAAGAAGGCCUUAUGGUUGUAAAGCACUUUAAGCGAGGAGGAGGCUACUUUAGAUAAUACCUAGAGAUAGUGGACGUUACUCGCAGAAUAAGCACCGGCUAACUCUGUGCCAGCAGCCGCGGUAAUACAGAGGGUGCAAGCGUUAAUCGGAUUUACUGGGCGUAAAGCGCGCGUAGGCGGCUAAUUAAGUCAAAUGUGAAAUCCCCGAGCUUAACUUGGGAAUUGCAUUCGAUACUGGUUAGCUAGAGUGUGGGAGAGGAUGGUAGAAUUCCAGGUGUAGCGGUGAAAUGCGUAGAGAUCUGGAGGAAUACCGAUGGCGAAGGCAGCCAUCUGGCCUAACACUGACGCUGAGGUGCGAAAGCAUGGGGAGCAAACAGGAUUAGAUACCCUGGUAGUCCAUGCCGUAAACGAUGUCUACUAGCCGUUGGGGCCUUUGAGGCUUUAGUGGCGCAGCUAACGCGAUAAGUAGACCGCCUGGGGGAGUACGGUCGCAAGACUAAAACUCAAAUGAAUUGACGGGGGCCCGCACAAGCGGUGGAGCAUGUGGUUUAAUUCGAUGCACCGAAAAAAAACCUCUUACAAAAAGGGGAGAG